CAACUACAGUUCAAAAAACAUGGAUUAAGGCAAAAUCAUGAUUAGAUUAGACAUAAUUGUGACAAAAAAUGCCUGGCUUCCUAGAAGCCCUUUUAUCCUAUGUGAUUUGUUGGUUGGGUAAUUGAAACUUUGGCUUAGGUGGAUAAUUAUUAAAAUGCUACACCUUGGAGUUCCCAUGUGGCUUAGCAGGUUAUGAACCGGACUAGUGCCCAUGAGGAUAUGGGUUUGAUCCCUGGUCUCACUCUGUGGGUUAAGGAUCUGGCAUUGCCACGAGCUCCUACACCACAGCCACAGCAACGCGGGAUCUGAGCCGCAUUUGCAACCUACACCACAGUUCACGGCAACGCCAGAUCCUCAACCCACUGAGCAAGGCCAGGGAUUGAACCCGCUGCCUCAUGGUUCCUAGUCGGAUUCGUUAACCACUGUGCCAUGAUGGGACCUCUCUUGUUCAUCAUUCUUAUAUAAGGUGUAUAGUCCUCAUAGAUUUUUAUUAUUCCCUCCUCCCCCUUUCUGGCUGCACCUGCAGGAUGCUAAGUUCCCAGGCCAGAGACUGAACUCCAGAUUCUUAACUACGAGGUCACCAAGGAACCCCAAUUCUUCUCUUUUAGGGGUUGUUUUGCCCAGUCUCAUUUAGCGGAAACUUUGUUUUAGUGACUUGUCUUUGCUGUUUCUAAAGCAUUUGGCUCUGUUUUCACGGAAGCAACGCUUUUCUUUUCACACCUGUAUUUCAUCCACUUACCACAUUGUGUAAUUAGAAAGGUGACAGCUGCACUGGGCGUCUGCGGGCACAGGCACAGCCAACUCUUGCUUGGACCUGGCAGCCUGGCACCCCGGCACCCCAAGUGGCUGGCGAUCUAAGGUCGUGGGUCAGGAUGUGUGGAAGAGGAGAUGGAGAGCACGGUUCCCCCAACUCUGCUGGACCAGGGGUGAGGAAAGACGUGGAAAUCACGGAGCCUGGGCAGGAGGCGGGGUGACUGAGAGCUCCUGUCUAGACGCUGCCAACCUCUCGCUCUGAGGAUGAGCAUGACAAGCCCUAGAAGGGAGGCUUUUUCCGCACGGUUUCUUUUUAUGCAGAUCCAAUCAGCAGCAUUUGCAGGAGCUUUGCUGCUGGCCAGCUCAGAACUGCCACCUUUGGAAUUCCCAUUGUGGCUCAGCUGGUUGAGAACCCAACUAGGGUCCGUGAGGUUGCAGGUUCAAUCCCUGGCCUCACUCAGUGGGUUAAAGAUCCAACAUUGCUUCAAGCUGCAGUGUAGGUCGCAGAUGCAGCUCAGAUCCAGCAUUGCUGUGGCUGUGGUGUAGACCAGCAGCUGUGGCUCUGAUUCGACCCCUGACCUGGGAACUUCCAUAUGCCGCAGGUGUGGCCCCAAAAAGAAAAAUGAAAAAGAAUCUCCAACUUCGUUAAUCUAGCUUGCUGUGUCUUUGUCUAAUAAUAACAACAACGAACACUUUUGUAGCACCCACUCUGUGCCAGGCAAUGUUCUGGGCACUUUGAAAAUACUAAUUUAGGAGUUAGUGGCACAGUGGAAAUGAAUCUGACUAGUAGCCAUGAGGUUCCUGGUCUCACUCAGUGGGUUAAGGAUCUGGCGUUGCCAUGAGUGGUGGUGAAGGUCGCAGAUGUGGCUCGGAUCUGGCGUGGCUGUGGCUGUGGUGUAGGUCAGCAGCUACAGCUCUGAUUAGACCCCUAGCCUGGAGAAUCUUCAUAUGCCUCGGGUGCGGCCCUAAAAAGACAAAAAAAAUACAUAAAUAAAAGAGAAUAGUAAUUCAUUCUUUUGAGCACUGACACUGAUUUAUUCUUUUAAGCACUAGUGUGAUCUCUAUUUUCCAAAAGGGGGAACUGAGGCACAGAAAGGUUUCGUAAUUUACCUGGGAAUUACCAGCUAGGAAGUGUCAGAGUCCAUCCCUGAUCCCUGUCCUGUGAUGUCUCUAAACGUGGCCACUUGUUUCCCAGGAGGAAGCAUGGAGUUGGGGCAGAGGAUCUGGAUCCCAGGUGGGAGGAGGGGCGAGGCCUCUGGGAAUCCCUUGGCUAUGCAGGGGGGGCUUCCCUACCCCAUUCUCACCUGUCUCCUCUGUCUCCAGGACUUAACGGGGGUCUGGGCAGCCUUUCUGUUUUUGCUAGUCCUUUGUCUCUGGUGGAAUUGGCUUCCUGGAUUCCUUUCCUCUACAGAGAGAAGUGCCAGGAAGGUGCAGCUACUGGUACCCAGUCCAGCCCCAGGCUGCCCAGGCGGUGCCCAUUCUCCCCCUCUGUCCAGGGGAAGCAGGGCCUGGGCUCUGUGAAUUCUCAAUUGCCUUCUUGCCCAACUCUUGAACCUUUUGCGGGAAGUCCACCUAAAUGUCCUCAAGCUAAUGGGUGACACCGUCAGGGCAACAGGACUCAAGUGUCUUCUUGGCCAGUGGCCCAGACCUGGUUCCUUUGCACUGACCCAGGAGAGGCAGUGUGUACAGUGGUAAAAGCAGUCUUGGGAGUCAACCUGGGUUCCCCUCUGCCUCUGCCAUCGCUGGCUGUGCAGCUGUAACCUCCUUGAGCCUCGCUCUCCUCCUCUGUGAAGCAGGGGGCCUGCCUUAGGGGCUUGUUGGGAUGAUUACAUGUGAACAUGGACAUGAGACACCUAAAAGGUGCAAGUUCAUGGCAGGUGCUUGGUCACGGUGGCUCUUGCCGUAGCCCCAAAGGCGGGCCUCCUAGCGGAAGAAGAGGCGGUGGUUCUAAACUUAUCCUGGAGGCUCCCAGAGCAGAGGCAGCCUGGAGACCUGGCGUGGAAGGAGGAGGCAUGGGACACCUGCCAAGGAGAGACAGACUUAAUGAUGGCCUUGUCCCCCAGGGUUAUAGGUUAUCUGCCCGGCUGGGCUUUCUGGACCACAGGAGAGAAGGUGGCCGUGAAAGCCCCUGGCCAGGUGGGGAAGGAGCCUGGGGGCUGAGCCUGAGCAGGGGGUACCCAGGAGAAUGGAGUAGACUGCCAAGGAGCUCAGAGCUUUGUGAGGGGGACGCAUCUCCAUUGUGCAUGUGCGUGUGCGUGUGUGCGUGUGUGCGUGUGUGCGUGUGUGUGUGUGUGUGUGUGUGUGUGUGUGUGUGUAAGUGAUUUGGGGGGUGGUCAGGACAGAAGAGAGGAAGUAGAGUUUGCAGUUUUAAAAGAUAUUAUUUGGGGGUCUCGAGAUGAGGGUAGCCCACAUCUUCCAGGCCUCGUCGGUUGUGAUUUUCCUAGAUUUUGCACGCACAUGUUCUGUUUUGUUUUGGCUGUGCACAUGGCAUGCAAAAGUUCCCGGGCCAGGGACUGAACCCACAUCACAGCAGUGACAAUGCCAGAUCUCGCCAGAUCUCGAACCCACUGGGAAACUCCAGGCAUGCACGUGUUUUUAAUACAUGUGCUAUAUGUUUUAUGAGUGUAUGUCUACAUACUAUAUGUACUCAAUUGUAUAGAAUCAAUAGACACUAGCUAUGAAAUUUGUGCAAAAUACAGAUCUGCCAAAGGGAAAGCAAGACCGUCCACCUACCCUAGAUUCUACCACUCAAUGCUUUCUCACCAUUUUCAGAUUUUCAGUCCUUUUGAAAAUCCGCUGAAAAGUAACAGACCUUCCCCCCAGAAAAAGGCUCCCGCAUUUUAGCAUAUACUUUCUUUGGGCUCUUGGGUGCUCCCAGGUUCAUCCUAAGCUCUGGGAGGGUGCACCGAGAGCUCUUUGGGUCCAACCUCCGGCUUCUCCGCAUUGGGAGGUUCCGACUCCCGAAACCAAGCUCAAAAGGCUGGAGAAGGAUGGAUGAGUCCGAGCCCCCAAGGCCCACAUGAGACACCCUUGUCCGACCACAGGUUCCAAGUCUGCUUUGAAGCUGUUUCUAUUUCCGCUCUUGGCUGCCUCUUUCAUACAAUGUGCAAGUGUACUCUGGGCCAUUGAAGUCCGUUUCUUUGCCCUGAAUUCACUGCUCCAGGGGGACUGUAAGAUCGGCUCAUUCGCAGAGGCCGCUGAUCCAUUGGGCAGUGGCAGCCUGUGGCUUUUGUGGCCCCCCUUCUGCGUGAAGGGCCUUGGCUCGGACAGGUGGGAAAUCGAGUCCAGGAGAGCGGUAGGUCAUGGGCAGGUGGAAUGCUCUGUUGGGGAGGGGACGUCAGGGCCGUGUCCAGGCCCCACAUGUUGGGCUCCAGGUGGCUCGAGACCCUGUAAGAUUAGCCCACAGACCCCUUUUCACUGCGUGGGGGCGCUGGCAUUGAGUACCCCACACCUUGGCUCCCGAGGCAUUGGCUAGCCUCUCUGAGCCCUUAGCGUGUUCUCUGCUCCGGGGAUGGGGGCCCCCAUCGAGCUGCUUACUUGACCAUCAGGGUGGGGGGGUUGGAAUCGCCUGGAGGUUUCUUCACUUGUCUGCUUGCCUGGGCAGGAAGACUCAAAGGCUGGGCUCAGAUGGGACUGUCAACCCGAGUGCCUGCAGUGGCUUGUGUUUCUGGCUUGGGCUUCCUCCCAGCAUGGCGGUUCUGAGUAGUCACAGAUGCUUUCUGAUCUCAGAGCUCCUGAUGCUCAGAGCUCCAAGUUCCAAAGCCAGAUGGAAGCUGUAUGACCUUUUAUGACCUCAACUCUCAAGUCCCUUAUCAUCACUCCCGCUCUACUCUCUUGGUCAAGGAAGUCACAAGCCCACCUAGAUUUAAGGGGAGGAGACAUUCCCUGUGCAAGUUGGCUGCCAUGUUUUAAAUCUUCAUGAUAAACAUAAAAGCCUUUAGCAUGAGGACAGCCAUGUUGGACCGGCCAGAAAAUGUGAGCUGCUGUUCCCUCUGCUGCUGUCCAUUUCGGUAUCUCUCAGGCACUGACUGCUGUGGGUCUGAUUGACUCAGGCAAGCCCCUUGCCCCCGUCUUAACAAAAUGAUCUUUAAGCUGCAGCUCUGUAAAUACGAUUAAUGUUGCCUGAUUCAUUCUUUUUACCUUCUUCAAGUUGUGGCUCAACUUUAAAAAAGUUCCCAGUUUUGAAUUUUCUUACCCUCAAUGGCUUUUCCCGACACAUCUAGAGGUUUCACGAGGACAUUCUAGAAGAUGGGUUCUUCGAGCCCCCAGGGUAUCUUGCGUAAGCCUUGACGUGGGACUCACACAACCCCCUGUUGUUCCAGGCACUCAAUGUAUCCCCUUCCUCUCAUUUUUUUUUUUUCGGAACGAAAACUCACAAUUGACCUUUUCCACACAGAGGAAUAGUUUUUCUCCUCUAAAGUGUAUAAAAAAGUCUAAGACGUGCUGUUCGCCCACAAGGAUCACAUGCUGGAAUUGGAGACCUAAGACUCCCAGGAAACCGUGGUGGAUGCAGGGUAUAACCAGGUGCCUCACCUCCACUCGAGAUGCAAAGCCCCUACCUGUGACCCUUAGCGCCACUAGCCAAGCUGGAACUGUAUGUGCUGGCUGGAUCUUCUUCUCUUCUUUUUUUUUUUUUUUUUUUUUUUUUUUUUUUUUUGCUUUUUAGGGCCACACCGAGGCACAUGGAAGUUCCCAGGCUAGGGGUUAAAUUGGAGCUGUAGCCGCCGGCCUAUACCACAGCCACAGCAACAAAAGGUUCCGAGCCACAUCUGCAACCUACAUCACAGCUCAUGGCAACACUGGAUCCUCAACCCACUGAGUGAGGCCAGGGAUUGAACCCGAAACCUCAUGGUCACUAGUCAGAUUUGCCUCCGCUGCGGCACAGCAGAAACUCUUGUCUGUUCUUUUUACAGAGGAGGAAACAGCUGUGGAGAAAUGAGAAAACUCACCCAAAUCCAGAUCUAACUCCAGGGCUGGUGCUCCUUACAUUUUGCUGGGAGAUUCUUUGCAACCACGAUGCUUCUGAGGUUGACACUCGAAAGAAUGAGGCUUGCAGACACGAGCAUCCUUUUUUAAAUCUGUUUUUUAAUUAUUUUUUUAAAUCCCCCACGCCCCCAUCCCCACCUCCAGGUCACAAACUCUAAAAGCCUCAGUUAAGGCAGACUUUUUUGGUCUAUGCUUGGGAAUUGGCAAAAGAAAGAAGCUCCAGAUUCUAAUUAACUUUCCCUUUUAACUACAGAUGAGCCACUUUUUGAGUUGACUAGGGAGUGAGCGUCUCAGAGAUUAAUGAAAAUAUGUAAAGAUGGCAGGAGAGCGGGAGGCAGAAGCUUCUGUAAUUAGGUUCCUGUAUCCUUGCGCCUUGAGAGUAAAAUGAUCAAGCCAGAAAAAGGAGGGGGGAUUCUGUGAAUAACUGUGGAUAUUGUCUCCCCACUUUGAGAAGGAUUACUUUCCAGGGUCCUUCUGAUUUUCCUAACAGAACUUAAGACAGAUAUUUAACUGGGUUUUGUUUUUUUUGCUUUUUUGUUUUUUUGGUUUUUUUGAGUUGUUGUUAGUCUCAUCUUAUUUUUUUUUUUUUUUUCUGACUAUAGCCUUCAGGUCUUGUCCCUCCUCAACUUUCUUACCUGACCAUGCCUAAAAAUGCUCCAGGGAAAGGAAAAUAAUUUUCCUUCUACCCUUCUAAGUUCUUGGCUGAGACCCCCCCUCCUGCCUUAUAUAAAAAGACAUAUUAGGAGUUCCCUGGUGGCUCAAAGGGUUAAAGAUCCAGCAUUGUCACUGCUGUGGCUUGGGUUGCUGCCCUGUCAUGGGUUUGAUUCCUGGCCCCAGAACUUCUGCAUGCUGCAGGUGCAGCCAAAAAAAAA
rnacentral:lncRNA from 1 species